rnacentral:rRNA from 1 species
AGUGAACGCUGGCGGUAGGCCUAACACAUGCAAGUCGAACGGCAGCACAGUAAGAGCUUGCUCUUACGGGUGGCGAGUGGCGGAAGGGUGAGGAAUACAUCGGAAUCUACUUUUUCGUGGGGGAUAACGUAGGGAAACUUACGCUAAUACAGCAUACGACCUACGGGUGAAAGCAGGGGAUUUUCGGGCCUUGCGCGAUUGAAUGAGCCGAUGUCGGAUUAGCUGGUUGGCGGGGUAAAGGCCCACCAAGGCGACGAUCCGUAGCUGGUCUGAGAGGAUGAACAGCCACACUGGGACUGAGACACGGUCCAGACUCCGACGGGAGGCAGCAGUGGGGAAUGUUGGACAAAGGGCGCAAGCCUGAUCCAGCCAUGCCGCGUGGGUGAAGAAGGCCUUCGGGUUGGAAAACCCUUUUGUUGGGAAAGAAAAGCUUCAGGUUAAUACCCCGCUGUUCUGACGGUACCCAAAGAAUAAGCACCGGCUAACUUCGUG